rnacentral:rRNA from 1 species
UACGGAGGGUGCAAGCGUUAUCCGGAUUCACUGGGUUUAAAGGGUGCGUAGGUGGGUCUGUAAGUCAGUGGUGAAAUCCCCGAGCUUAACUUGGGACUGCCGUUGAUACUAUAGAUCUUGAAUAUCGUGGAGGUAAGCGGAAUAUGUCAUGUAGCGGUGAAAUGCUUAGAUAUGACAUAGAACACCAAUUGCGAAGGCAGCUUACUACACGAUCAUUGACACUGAGGCACGAAAGCGUGGGGAGCAAACAGG